UGGGUGAACUGAGUAAGAAGCAGUCACCGGAUCCUGGGUGAAUGUCUGUCGAAUUAACAACUUAAAACUAACGUCACCGCGGUAUUUCGCGAGUUACUGCAAGUUUUUCAACACAAGUCUGUAACAUUAACACAAUAUGUUCGCUCAGUGUCACAUCAUCAAGCCAUCCUGUCUCCAAAAAUCCAACUCUUACCUUCCCAGGUCACAGGAAACAAUUGGGCGUCUGAGUUUCUCCUGGCUCAAGGCACAGUAUUUCCAUUUGGCAGCCAACUCUGCAUUUUUAUCAACCUGGACACAUAAACACGCUGCAGAUUAGUUUACUAUCGAUGGUGCUGUCCAAGAGCGACCAUUAGUUUGGGGAAUACCUCAGUGGAGACAUCUCAGUGGAGACAUCUCUGGCAUGACUGAUGCUCUGUGUGGAAAAGAAGACUGAAUAUAAACUCAGCAAUGGACUUCAUUUUGGCUGAGAAAAUAGAGUUCAACCUCUUUACGCUCACCACACACAGGCAGCUGCCACUGCUUCCCAAAAUGUACCAAAAUGAAUAAAUGUAAACAUAAAAACAUUAAUCCAU